ACUAUUUUCCAACGUUUUAUACACAAAACAAAUAAUCAGCAGAUUAAUUGGAAAAAUGAUUGUUAGCUGCAGCACUAAUCUAUAUAUCUAUUUGGACAUCCAGUACAAGACCAGAGAUCAGAUGAAGCCUCUGUUUUACCUGUCUACUUUCCUCCAGUCAAAGUUGUGUCGCAUGACAACAGGUGGUGCUCCAGGAUUUACAUCUGGUGGCGGCGGUGUGCCUGACAGACAGGGGGUGGUUAAUGCACAACACAGGCCAUCUGCAAAGUCUGCAAAGUCAAGGAUAGGGGAAGUAAAAUACCGCUCAGAAGCUUACAAACAAACACAGUAAAAAUGUUAUGUUGCAUACUUUGCAUUAACCGCUCUCAUACUCUACUGAUCAGGCAGCAGCUAUUACAGCAUAUAACGCCAACCCUUCUCUCACUGUGUACGCACCAGUGGUCAAUAUCAAGCAUGCAUGUUGUAUCUCAUUUCCUGUUUUGUUCCAAAAAUGUUCUAUUAGACCAGGAAAUAUAUAUCCACCAAUGAUAACACUUCUAUCUUAAGAACACAAUGUAUUAUUUGAUUGUAAAUGCGUUUCCAUGGUGUAUGGCUCUGCAUGUCAUGAUGUUUGUUUCCUUCCUUUUUGUUUGUUUUUAGACCCAAGUGUUUCUGUUCAUUCUGUUAUGUCUGUAGGUUUUCGUGCAUCUACCCACCAGAGUAGUGGUUGAUCAUAUCUUCAAGGCACUGGAAAGUGAGGCGAGGAGAGAUGUAGUACCAGCUGUUGUCCAGUCUGAAGAUACGAUAGUGCUUUAUGAUCCUGUGCUUCACUGAGAGCGAAUACAGACCUGAGGAUACAUACCGACAAGAUACUUUCAGUCAGUAAGCAAACAAUGGUGUCUGGUCUCUGUAUUGUUACCCAAGAACACGAAAAACCACUGACCAACUCAUACUGAUGUUGUGGGAAAAUGGGAAUUCUUGUUUUCAGGUGGAAACAUCAGUGAAAACCAUUUCCUUGUCAGUAUUGGACUCAAGAUGCAGGUCGUUCUUGUCUUUCUCUCUUCUUCAACUAGACCCCUCUUGUUCAUGCUUUGGAUCUGACUAGCUCUCGCCUUAGCUUAUCUUUUACUCCCCUGCUCUUGUCUUAACAUCAACCUGACCUAAUCUCGGCACAUGCUUCCUUGUUGACAAGGAUUUAAUUUCCUAUGCAGAGACUCUGUACUCACUUUUACAGAAGGCCCCAGUCAAACCAAAUUAACAGAGCUGAUUGCAGACUGUUGCAGCAAAUGUACUCACCUCUCUCCCUGCUGCUCUCCCGCACCAGGAAGGAGCCCACUCUGUUCACAGGUAGUAAGAGCAGCUCCUCGGCCUUCUGCCUCUCCACCCCCUCAAACAGCCACCUGACCCAACGAAAAACAUCAGAUCUCAUUAGAUACUUGCUGCAUUUUAAACCUUUCAUACCAUUCAUAUUAAAGACAUGACACUGAAAUCAA